GGUCUUGGGCGGUGGUCCGUCAUUCAUUUGAUGUGCACCUCUGGUCCGAGUCCAUCCUCGGGGAGGACGCGUCUGCCAUUCAGUUGGUGGGCGCGGUCGCCCCGUCAUUUACUGUGAGCAAAAUAGAGUGUUCAAAGCAGGCUUAUGCCGUUGAAUACAUUAGCAUGGAAUAAUGGAAUAGGGCUGCUGCCCCAUUUUGUUGGUUUCUGGGACCGUAGCA
rnacentral:rRNA from 1 species